GACGAACGCUGGCGGCGUGCUUAAUACAUGCAAGUCAACUGAACUUUAGGUAGCAAUAUUUAAAGGGAGGUGGCGCACGGGUGAGUAACACGUAGGUAAUCUGCCUUCAGGACUGACAUAAUUCCGCGAAAGCGGGACUAAAAUCAGAUGAUGCAGCGGCUCGACAUCGAGACAGUUGUUAAACCUUCGGGGCCUGAAGAUGAGCCUGCGUCUGAUUAGGUAGUUGGCGGGGUAAUGGCCCACCAAGCCUGCGAUCAGUAGCUGGUCUGAGAGGAUGAUCAGCCACACUGGAACUGAGACACGGUCCAGACUCCUACGGGAGGCAGCAGUAAGGAAUAUUGCUCAAUGGGAGAAAUCCUGAAGCAGCAACGCCGCGUGGAGGAUGAAAUACUUUAGUAUGUAAACUCCUGUAAGAGGGGAAAAAUAUACAUUCUGCUGUAUUGAUUGUACC
rnacentral:rRNA from 1 species